rnacentral:siRNA from 1 species
UUGGUUGAGGUCCACAGUUUCC